rnacentral:rRNA from 1 species
UACGAAGGGGGCUAGCGUUGCUCGGAAUCACUGGGCGUAAAGCGCACGUAGGCGGAUUUCUAAGUCAGGGGUGAAAUCCUGGAGCUCAACUCCAGAACUGCCUUUGAUACUGGGAAUCUCGAGUCCGGGAGAGGUGAGUGGAACUGCGAGUGUAGAGGUGAAAUUCGUAGAUAUUCGCAAGAACACCAGUGGCGAAGGCGGCUCACUGGCCCGAUACUGACGCUGAGGUGCGAAAGCGUGGGGAGCAAACAGGG